UGGGGAAUAUUGGACAAUGGGGGCAACCCUGAUCCAGCAAUGCCGCGUGUGUGAAGAAGGCCUGCGGGUUGUAAAGCACUUUCAGUGGGGAAGAAAAGCUUGGGGCUAAUACCCUCGAGUGUUGCCGUUACCCACAGAAGAAGCACCGGCUAACUCCGUGCCAGCAGCCGCGGUAAUACGGAGGGUGCGAGCGUUAAUCGGAAUCACUGGGCGUAAAGAGCACGUAGGCGGCUUGAUAAGUCAGAUGUGAAAGCCCCGGGCUCAACCUGGGAAUGGCAUUUGAUACUGUUGAGCUAGAGUCUGGUAGAGGAAGGUGGAAUUCCAGGUGUAGCGGUGAAAUGCGUAGAGAUCUGGAGGAACACCGGUGGCGAAGGCGGCCUUCUGGGCCAAGACUGACGCUGAGGUGCGAAAGCGUGGGGAGCAAACAGGAUUAGAUACCCCCGUAGUCC
rnacentral:rRNA from 1 species